UUGGGAAUCUUCCGCAAUGGGCGAAAGCCUGACGGAGCGACACUGCGUGAGGGAAGAAGUCCUUCGGGAUGUAAACCUCUGUCGAGAGGGGAAGACUCUCAGACGGUACCCUCAGAGGAAGCCCCGGCUAACUACGUGCCAGCAGCCGCGGUAAAACGUAGGGGGCGAGCGUUAUCCGGAAUUACUGGGCGUAAAGGGCGUGUAGGCGGUCAGGUGUAUCGAGGGUGAAAUCCCACGGCUCAACUGUGGGAAGACUCUCGAGAUUAUCUGGCUAGAGGGUAGAAGAGGGAGAUGGAAUUCCCGGUGUAGCGGUGAAAUGCGUAGAUAUCGGGAAGAACGCCGGUGGUGAAGACGGUCUCCUGGGCUAUCCCUGACGCUGAGGCGCGAAAGCUAGGGGAGCGAACG
rnacentral:rRNA from 1 species